rnacentral:rRNA from 1 species
UACGUAGGGUGCAAGCGUUGUCCUGAAUCACUGGGCGUAAAGGGCGCGUAGGUGGCGGGUCAAGCGUGCGGUGAAAGCUCGGGGCUCAACCCCGAGUCGGCCGUGCGAACUGGCCUGCUUGAGCACUGUAGAGGCAGAUGGAAUUCCGGGUGUAGCGGUGGAAUGCGUAGAGAUCCGGAAGAACACCGGUGGCGAAGGCGGUCUGCUGGGCAGUUGCUGACACUGAGACGCGAAAGCGUGGGGAGCAAACAGG